GUAAUUUUUCACUUUGAGUCAUCAGAAACUCAAUUAGUAUUUAAUAUUUUUGCAUUUAAAAGUAGAAGUUUUAAUUUAAAAAUUCAGUUUAUGACCGACCGUCCUUAAAACAAGUGGCAAAGAGCUUGGUGGUUCGUACCUGAUACCCAAGUUCGAAUCCUAGUUGAUUCACAUUUCCAGUUAAGUUUAUUUCUAAAUGAAAUAAACGAAACAGGUAGUCUGCUAUCUAUCUCUCAAAAAAAAAAAAAAAAAAAGACCGACCAUCCUUAAAACAAGUGGCAAGGGCUUGGUGGUUGGUACCCGAUACCCAAGUUCAAAUCCUAGUUGAUUCAUAUUUCCAGUUAAGUUUAUUUCUAAAUGAAAUAAACGAAACGGAUAGCGUGCUAUCUAUCUCUCAAAAAAAAAAAAAAAAAAAAUUCAGUUUAUGUUGUUGUAGUAGUAGUAGUAGUAGUAGUAGUAGUUCGGCGAUCAUAAUGUAGAACAUUUUUUAAAUUGUU
rnacentral:lncRNA from 1 species